GGACUGCUAUAAAUCUGAGAUUGCUAUAAAUCUCUUCUGUAAUUUCCAUUAUAUCAGGUUGAGGAUUAAGGUUUUCUCUCGUGUGCUUAUGGUAAUGAAUUGCAUGUUACCAAAAUUGCCUCUUAUUGUAUCUGCCAAAUGCAAGCCACUGACUGACGGAAUUUCCAUUUACUAUAAUGCAGGGUGAAGAUGUAAUUUCAUUUAUGCUGCCUAGCACUCAGUGGCGGUCUUGAAAAAAUUUAUAUGCUUUCCAGCCUUUUCCAGAAAUAAUACAAAAUGGUGUAUGAGACCAUUCUAUACAAACAAAAACUACUUGAACCAAUUGCUCUGAAGGCUUCUUUUGCACUGUACCUGUAUAUACUGAUCUGAAGUGGAGGAAGUGAAAACAGUUAAUUGAAGAACUUCAUUUUUCAGCUUUUAUGAACCUGCUCAGAUUACUUUCAGCAUCUACUUCUUUUUCUUUCUUCCUUGGAAAGAUGUAUGGAUUCAUAGGAAUGGGAGCUUGUUUUUAAUGAGAAAUAACUGAAUACAAAGUAACUUCGUCACUUUAUAAUUUGGUUUGAACCUGUACUGGUUAAUAAAAAUUUAACUGUGUUAGGGGAUGUGUCUUUUCCAAAAGCAUCAACCACUGUAUUGAUCCCUUAAAAAGUGAAGUUGAACUGCUAUAAUGGUCACUGCUUCUGCAUACAUUCAGCAGUGAAUGCACAUGCAGUGUGGGGAAGGAGAACAACUAUUCAUGUUUCAGAGAAGAAAAGGGAGUUCUAUCACUUAAAGAAAUAAAAAUGUGUAGAUUUUGAUUUGUUUAUUCCUUAACUUCUAAAAUGUGUUUUCUUUGACAUCUUUGGCAUGUCAUUGGUGGAAGUAAAAAAGCAGAUUAAGUAUAUCUGAUUAGAAUAUUUAUCAUUGUGAAUGGAUAUUUGAGGAGAGAAUUUACAGUUCAGAUUGUAUCCUGAUGUCCUAGCAAUCUGAAAUGUGAUGUGAUGUACAAAUACAACUGCUUUACCUUUCUCUGUCACUGGAUAACAAAAAAAAAAAAAAAUCACCCAAACCACAAAACCUUACUGUAAAUGGAGAGAGAAACUGGAAAAAUAUGUUAACUUCAUGAGGAAAAAAAAUUAUCAAUGCCUGGCCAAAUAAUUAAGAGCUAGAAGAAUUUCUUACAGUGAACUUUUAGUAAUCGGAUCUUUUCAGAUGAAAAUGAUCAUCAAUUUAGUGCUUUUCUACUUUUGGAGUUGCAAGUAAUAGAAAACUUAAUUGCAUGAAAGCUAUAAAAACUGUGAAAUCUUUACUUAGAACUUUAUAUUUGAAUAGAUUCGUUGUUACAAGGGUGUAAGGAAAGUAAACAUCUGAAAGCAAAGUUGUUGGAAGUUUAGAGAAAUCCAUGAAAAAAUUGGUUACUUAGUUUCUUUCUUUUUGUUUUAACA